UACGUAGGGGGCAAGCGUUGUCCGGAUUUAUUGGGCGUAAAGAGCGUGUAGGCGGCCUGAAAGGUCAGCUGUGAAAACUCGAGGCUUAACCUCGAGACGUCGGUUGAAACCAUCUGGCUAGAGUCCGGGAGAGGAGAGUGGAAUUCCUGGUGUAGCGGUGAAAUGCGCAGAUAUCAGGAAGAACACCCGUGGCGAAAGCGGCUCUCUGGAACGGUACUGACGCUGAGACGCGAAAGCGUGGGGAGCGAACAGG
rnacentral:rRNA from 1 species